AUUGAACGCUGGCGGCAGGCCUAACACAUGCAAGUCGAGCGGAGCGGGGGACGGGUGAGUACUGCCUAGGAAUUUGCCUGUUAGUGGGGGAUAACGUCCGGUAACGGGCGCUUAUACCGCAUACUAUCAGAUGAGCCUAGGUCGGAUUAGCUAGUUGGUGGGGUAAAGGCAUACCAAGGCGACGAUCCGUAACUGGUCUGAGAGGAGGAUCAGUCACACUGGGACUGAGACACGGUCCAGACUCCUACGGGAGGCAGCAGUGGGGAAUAUUGGACAAUGGGCGAAAGCCUGAUCGAGCCAUGCCGCGUGUGUGAAGAAGGUCUUCGGAUUGUAAAGCUCUUUAGGUAGAGAGGCGUUACCAACAGAAUAAGCACCGGCUAACUUCGUGCCAGCAGCCGCGGUAAUUC
rnacentral:rRNA from 1 species